CUUCCAGUAGCACCUUAGAGACCAACUAAGUUUGAUAUUGGUAUGAGCUUUCGUAUCUGAAGUAGUGUGCCUGCACACGAAAGUUCAUACCAAUAACAAACUUAGUUGGUCUCUAAGGUGCUACUGGAAG